GGAGGGGGGCUAGCGUUGUUCGGAUUUACUGGGGCGUAAAGCGCGCGUAGGCGGGCUGGUUAGUUGGGGGGUGAAAUCCCGAGGGCUCAACCUCGGGAACUGCCCUCAAUACUGCCAGUCUUGAGUUCGAGAGAGGUGAGUGGAAUUCCUAGUGUAGAGGUGAAAUUCGUAGAUAUUAGGAAGAACACCAGUGGCGAAGGCGGCUCACUGGCUCGAUACUGACGCUGAGGCGCGAAAGCGUGGGGAGCAAACAGGAUUAGAUACCCUGGUAGUCCACGCCGUAAACGAUGGGUGCUAGUUGUCAGGCAGCUUGCUGUUUGGUGACGCAGCUAACGCGUUAAGCACCCCGCCUGGGGACUACGGUCGCAAGACUA
rnacentral:rRNA from 1 species